GGGGUUGGACUGGAUGAUCUCCAGCUCGCUGACCUGGGGCUGCUUUUCCCUGCCGAGCUGAGCGGCCGCAGGGAGUGGGAGCGAAACGAAGCAAGGAAAAGCAGCUCCUGCUGCAAUUUUGAAUAUAAAUGGCAGACGCUGGCAGUGCUGAAACCAGCCUUGGUUUGUUUCAGUGCAGCCACUGGAGGGAAUCUCGGUUUUGCCAAAGAGCCUCAUGAGCAAGUUUGCAAAGUCUAACACAAUUCUUUAGAAGAAUGAGGAGUUUCAUAGAGGGUACAGGGACGUUGAAAGACCCCAGCUAAAGCAUUUUAAACCUGCUUUUUCCUGAUCACAUGCCCUGCUUAGCCACACUGUAGGCUGUGGGUAGAAUUCCCUGCCUUUUGCAGACUGAUCCCUGCUCUUGUGGCUGGCAGAGGUGUGUGCUGCUGUGGCUGACAGGACACUCGCUACUCGAUGACAGGACACUACAACACAAAACGUGCAUCUUGGUCCUUACUCGGUGCGUUGCUUGCUCUGUUCCUCAGCUGUUGCUGGCUGAAGGCCCUGGCUCUUCCCUGCAGCCCUAGCCAGCCCUUUGGGUUACAGCACACAUUUGUCAGUGGCAUCCAUGGCCACCCCGUGGCUGUACAGCUGCUUCCCAACUGGCACGCUGUCUCCUCAGACUGUUCCUAGGCUGGCUCCUUUCCCCAGCCCCAUGAAGAUUACUCUUCCUGGCUCUGCUGUCCAAGGGUGCACUGCAGCUGCCCAUCACCCCCUGCUUUUUUCCCUUGACAACCAGUUCCCAGGCUGCUGGCUCCAAGCUGUUCUUGCAUUCCUACAGCAUCAGGCUCUCCAAGGGCCCACUGCCUGGGCCUUAUGCUCUCUGUUACCAGAAUGGCACUUCUUCUGCCCUGUCUCUUCAGAUUAUACAGGACCUUGAGUUGAUGUGAUGCUAAUCUGGCUUGCUUUUCUCUCCAGGAGAUGUCUCUGGCCCAAUCCUGACACUGUAGGUCAUGCUAAGGAGGAACAAUGCCAGUGUGUCCAUUAGGCUGAUUGUAUUUCUGACGACUUCACUCAUCACCAUGGUAUCUGGAUACAUUUUUUUGGACUAUUUUGGUCCAUUUCUUCUGUCUCCCACACACUUUAUCAUCAUCACUAUAAUACUUGUAGGAAACCAAAAACAGAAAAAAGGGUUGAGGAAACCUGUUUUUUCUAGAGUUGAUAUGCUUCAUGGUGAUUCAUGGUUAUUUUGUAUGAUCUUGGAGUGAACCCAUAGGGUAACUGUUCUAAUAUCUCUGUGUUCCAAAGGACACUUUUUCUAGUUACUACAAACUGCAAUGAAGAAUCCUAGGAAUGAAAAAUGCAUGAUGGCCAUGGCCAAAUCAGCAGCAUCUUGUCAUCAGGGACAAGCCUCUUGGAUAGCAGAAAUUGCUCUGUGCUAGUUGCAAUGGCAAUAGGCAGACUGCAAGAGACAAGAAAGGCAAACCUAGAGAUCAAAUUCAUCAAAACAAGACAGGAUGAUAUUGGAAAUAUUCCUGGACACCUGGAAGACAACUUUGGGCUUAGAUCUGCACAGCCUUCCUCCUCCUCUGCCCUAGAUGCUACCUUUUGACAUGUCUGUUUCAUAAAUGAAACCCCUGUUCCAUACAUGUAUAAGCCAACACUUUCAAACACUUGCCUCCACAAAGAAUAUUUCCCUUCAGAUGAGGACUGAAUGAAGGCAGAACUGCAUGGAAACUCAGCAUAUUGUAAGUGAAACAGCCUAGAGCAUUCAUCUCAUAUCUCAUGUCAUCUCAUCAUAUAGUUCCGUGUGACCACUAAACUGGCUGGUCAUGGCUAGUUGCCACUAGCAAGGCAAAGGUCUUACCCUAAGCCACUAGUUGCAAGGCAAAGGUCUUACCCUAGGCUGUGCUCUUCCACUGUCAUUUUUGUGUUGGCAUUGCUGCCUGGCUGGGCUGAGGUAAACCAGGAUGGAAGCUCUGCAGGGCAGAGAUAAGCCAAGAAGAGAAGAUUUCUUGCAGUGUCUCACCCAGGCCAGGUGAGAGCCAGCAGAGCCUCAGAGGAAGCAAUUCAAAGAGGAAAGCCACAGUAGCACUGACUUAGAUCAGUCUAAAUUCCCAUACUAGUGUGUGCUUUCUGAGUGUGGCACUUCCUUCUCCUGCUUCUGCUCUGUCCUAGGCACUGCAGUCUCUCCCCCAGUGCUCCUUCUGAGGCUGCUUUGGAGCCCUUGUGAGUUGACUCAGCUCACCAACCUCACAGAAGAAAAACCCUCUUCAUUUGCUUGUUGGUUUGAUUCAAUGUGUGAAUAACUCUGUGAGGGAAAGGGGGAGUGAAGGAAGAAGUUGGAGGAGGAGAUGGAACUGUCCUUUUUUGAUGGUCAAACCAUUAUUGCCACCCACUGAGGGUGCAAUUUGAUGUUACACCUAACCAAUCCAACCAUGCAAGGUGUAACUGAAGAUAACAGUGCUAAACUCACUGAUCUGAUGUAAAGUGAACUCUUUUCUUUGUUGAGUUGCCACAAAGCUGUGUGAUUGCUAAAUCCAGUUCAGGGGAAGCUGCAGGAAUGUCUGUGUGGAACUUUUUGGGAAGAACAGAACUGUUGUAUUUUGUGGCAAUCUCCACUUAGGUUGUGCUAUCAGGAUGUUAAACUGUCCUCUUUGCAUGCUUUCGGAAGGGAUAAAAACAAAACUAAGCUUUUCAAAAAAAAUUUACUUUUGAGUUGGGUCAACACAGUGAUCUGACUUAACAGCUGCAAAACAGUUAAUCCUAAACCAGAGAGAGAAUGAAAAGAUAAAGUGAGGGGCAGGAGACAGGAGAAUCUCUUUUUGGAUAGCAGUGUACUCUUACAUUGGCUGAUGCUGAACAUGGAGCUGCUCCCCAAGAAAGGGAGCCCAAGUGACUGAAGAAAUUUUCAGCUUUUUGUAGUAAACAGCUCAUCAAAAUGAUCUAACUUUAAAAAAUUCAUUAUCUUUUACUUUUGCAAACUGUGUUUUCACUGGCCUCACAAGCAGAUGACUUUGUGGGAGAAUGGUAGAAUUAAGAACUGCACCAGAGAGUGAUUGACUAUGAAAUUGGGAAGUAAGGAACUUAGCUGGCUUGACCAUCAGGGAAGUUGUAAUGUGGUAUUAUGCUUUGGAUUUUCUACAGUAGCUUGUAAUGAAGAAGAAUAAAGAUGUACCUCAG